rnacentral:rRNA from 1 species
ACGCACGCUGGCGGCGUGCUUCACACCUGCCAGUCGAACGGAAAGGCCCUGCUUUUGUGGGGUGCUCGAGUGGCGAACGGGUGAGUAACACGUGAGUAACCUGCCCUUGACUUUGGGAUAACUUCAGGAAACUGGGGCUAAUACCGGAUAGGAGCUCCUGCUGCAUGGUGGGGGUUGGAAAGUUUCGGCGGUUGGGGAUGGACUCGCGGCUUAUCAGCUUGUUGGUGGGGUAGUGGCUUACCAAGGCUUUGACGGGUAGCCGGCCUGAGAGGGUGACCGGCCACAUUGGGACUGAGAUACGGCCCAGACUCCUACGGGAGGCAGCAGUGGGGAAUAUUGCACAAUGGGCGGAAGCCUGAUGCAGCAACGCCGCGUGCGGGAUGACGGCCUUCGGGUGGUAAACCGCUUUCGCCUGUGACGAAGCGUGAGUGACGGUAAUGGGUAAAGAAACACCGGCGAACUACGU